GAGGCAGCAGUGAGGAAUAUUGGACAAUGGAUGGAAAUCUGAUCCAGUCAUGCCGCGUGCAGGAAGACUGCCUUAUGGGUUGUAAACUGCUUUUAUACGGGAGCAAUAAGGGUUACGUGUAACCUGAUGAGAGUACUGUAUGAAUAAGGAUCGGCUAACUCCGUGCCAGCAGCCGCGGUAAUACGGAGGAUCCGAGCGUUAUCCGGAAUUAUUGGGUUUAAAGGGUGCGUAGGCGGCUAUUUAAGUCAGCGGUGAAAUUUUGCAGCUUAACUGUAACAGUGCCGUUGAAACUGUUUAGCUAGGAUUUGGUUGCAGUGUGCGGAAUGUGUGGUGUAGCGGUGAAAUGCUUAGAUAUCACACAGAACACCAAUUGCGAAGGCAGCACACUAAGUCAAUAUUGACGGUGAGGCACGAAAGUGUGGGGAUCAAACAGGAUUAGAUACCCUGGUAGUCCACACUGUAAACGAUGAUAACUCGCGCGGGCGAUACAUUUCGGUGGCCAAGCGAAA
rnacentral:rRNA from 1 species